rnacentral:rRNA from 1 species
UGGGGAAUUUUGCACAAUGGGGGAAACCCUGAUGCAGCGACGCCGCGUGAUUUAGAAGGCCUUCGGGUUGUAAAAAUCUUUUCUAUGGGAAGAAAAUGACAGUACCAUAGGAAUAAGGACCGGCUAAUUACGUGCCAGCAGCCGCGGUAAUACGUAAGGUCCGAGCGUUGUCCGGAAUCAUUGGGCGUAAAGGGUGCGUAGGCGGGUAAGCAAGUUAGAAGUGAAAUCCUGUAGCUCAACUACAGUAAGCUUUUAAAACUGCUCAUCUUGAGAUAUGGAAGGGAAAGUGGAAUUCCUAGUGUAGCGGUGAAAUGCGCAGAUAUUAGGAGGAAUACCGGUGGCGAAGGCGACUUUCUGGCCAUAAUCUGACGCUGAGGUACGAAAGCGUGGGUAGCAAACAGG